GGGGGCGACCUGGCUUCGACGUGGGUUGCGAAACCUGAGGUGCAUGCCGAGGUGCAGUUCAUCUCGUAAAACAAACUGCAAACUUAUAGUUGCCAACGACGACAACUACGCACUCGCUGCUUAAACCCCAGUAGGGUGCCCUCCGGACUGAAGCCGUGCCUGUGCGUUCAGGUUCCCGGGGGUCAUUUCUCACAGGAUCGCGAAGCAGCUCGUCCGGGGCCAAAUCGCUAAAACCUUACCGGAAUCGCCGUCAGUUUGCCCUGUCAGUCGGGUUGCUGCCGGUUAAAUCAAAAGACUGAAUAAGCAUGUAGAGCCGAUGGCAGAGGACUUACGGACGCGGGUUCGAUUCCCGCCGCCUCCACCA
rnacentral:tmRNA from 1 species